rnacentral:rRNA from 1 species
GAUGAACGCUGGCGGCGUGCCUAAUACAUGCAAGUCGAGCGAACAGACGAGGAGCUUGCUCCUCUGACGUUAGCGGCGGACGGGUGAGUAACACGUGGAUAACCUACCUAUAAGACUGGGAUAACUUCGGGAAACCGGAGCUAAUACCGGAUAAUAUAUUGAACCGCAUGGUUCAAUAGUGAAAGACGGUUUUGCUGUCACUUAUAGAUGGAUCCGCGCCGCAUUAGCUAGUUGGUAAGGUAACGGCUUACCAAGGCAACGAUGCGUAGCCGACCUGAGAGGGUGAUCGGCCACACUGGAACUGAGACACGGUCCAGACUCCUACGGGAGGCAGCAGUAGGGAAUCUUCCGCAAUGGGCGAAAGCCUGACGGAGCAACGCCGCGUGAGUGAUGAAGGUCUUCGGAUCGUAAAACUAUGUUAUUAGGGAAGAACAAAUGUGUAAGUAACUAUGCACGUCUUGACGGUACCUAAUCAGAAAGCCACGGCUAACUACGU